AACGACCGGUCGGACACGCGUGCCACCCAGCAGGCGGGCCCGGCCCACAAGUGGAGGCUCCGAACUCCCACCCGAUCGCCCCCCGAGGGCGGCGGGUCACCCCGGUCAGGCGGCCGCCAUCGUUCCGUACGGACGAUGGAGUCGCCCGGUAGUGCGCCCCGCGAUCCCCGCGAGGGUGCUCCGGUAGUGCUUGGAGCCCCCGCAUGUGAUCGUUCGGGGCAUUUUUU
rnacentral:ncRNA from 1 species